rnacentral:rRNA from 1 species
UACGGAGAGUGCAAGCGUUGCUCGGAUUCACUGGGCUUAAAGGGCACGUAGGCGGCCGGGCAACCCACGCGUGAAAGCCUUCCGCUCAACGGAAGAACGGCGCGUGGAAGUACCCGGCUUGAGGGCGGCAGGGGAGCGUGGAACUCCUGGUGGAGCUGUGAAAUGCGUAGAUAUCAGGAGGAACGCCGGAGGCGAAAGCGACGCUCUGGGCCGUUUCUGACGCUGAGGUGCGAAAGCUGGGGGAGCAAACGGGAUUAGAUACCC